UUCAUUCCACAUUUGUAAAAGCUUUUGAAAUAAUACCAAACUUGUAAAAUACAUUUAUAUCAUAUUUCACAUUUUCAAAUUCAUACCAUAAUAAAAUCAUGUUUGAAUUUAUACCAUACAUAAAAUCACUUUCAUACCAUAUUAAAAUAAUGGCUAAUUUGACAUUAAGCACAAAUUAAACCCAAAAGGUGCAUUGAACAACUUGACUAGGUUGACUGGCUCAAAUCCGAUAAUUGCAAAGAAGUCCUCCAAAUUAUUGUAAUGGCACUUGCAUCCAAUUUAGUACAAUUUGAUCUUGUCCGGGCCAAUUUGAAUAAUUUAAUUGAUUCCGGUUCAGCUUGAGCCACUUUAAAUUCAACUAUAACCUGAAAUUGCUAAGUAACAAAUUAAAUCCAAUAUUUGUUUGUUAUCAUCAAAAUUUAUUAUUGGAUAAAAUCCAACAAAUACUAGUUAGAGUGCACAUGAGAAAAUCUCCAGUGAUAUCAUAUAUCUACAGGUAAAUGGUUGUUACUUAUCAGAAGUGUCGGAUCGUUGGCGUUAACCAUUGAUCCCAAAAGAUCAAACCGAUCAAUUUACAUAAAGCGUAUAGAUACAACGCCCACAACCUAACUAGCCUUACGCUACUUUGAAUAUGACUCUGCCAAAUCCAGUCUCACAUCAUUUCGAGCGUGACUCGGCCCAACCUGGCCUCCCGCCACAGGGUAGGAUGUUAGCCCAUUUAAGCCAACAAUUCCCUCUCUAUCAUCUGCACAAAUUUGCAACAUACGGGAAUUAAAACCCGUGAUCUCUAACUCGGAUACCACUUGUCGAAUCAUUGGUGGGCGCCGACCGUUAAUCCCAAAAGCAUGAUUUGUUAGAAAUACGCAAGUAAUUUAUUUAAAAUGUAUAGAUAUAAUGCCUAUGAGUUUCGAUUGUGACUCGGCCCAACCAGCCUCACGCUACUUCGAACAUAACUUGGCCCAACCCAGUUUCACGUCAUUUCGAAUGUGAUUCAGCCCAACCUGACCUCUCCGUCAUAGGGCAGGAUAAUGACCUAUUUAAGCCAACAAAAA
rnacentral:lncRNA from 1 species